GACGAACGCUGGCGGCGUGCCUAACACAUGCAAGUCGAACGGAAAGGCCCUGCUUUUGUGGGGUGCUCGAGUGGCGAACGGGUGAGUAACACGUGAGUAACCUGCCCUUGACUUUGGGAUAACUUCAGGAAACUGGGGCUAAUACCGGAUAGGAGCUCCUACUGCAUGGUGGGGGUUGGAAAGUUUCGGCGGUUGGGGAUGGACUCGCGGCUUAUCAGCUUGUUGGUGGGGUAGUGGCUUACCAAGGCUUUGACGGGUAGCCGGCCUGAGAGGGUGACCGGCCACAUUGGGACUGAGAUACGGCCCAGACUCCUACGGGAGGCAGCAGUGGGGAAUAUUGCACAAUGGGCGGAAGCCUGAUGCAGCAACGCCGCGUGCGGGAUGACGGCCUUCGGGUUGUAAACCGCUUUCGCCUGUGACGAAGCGUGAGUGACGGUAAUGGGUAAAGAAGCACCGGCUAACUACGUG
rnacentral:rRNA from 1 species